AGAGUUUGAUCCUGGCUCAGGAUGAACGCUAGCGGCAGGCCUAAUACAUGCAAGUCGAGGGGUAACAGGAAGUGCUUGCACUUCGCUGACGACCGGCGGACGGGUGAGUAACGCGUAUACAAUCUACCUCAUACUAGAGGAUAGCCCGAAGAAAUUUGGAUUAACACUCUAUAGUAUCAUUUAAAGACAUCUUUUUAUGAUUAAAGGUUACGGUAUGAGAUGAGUAUGCGUUCUAUUAGUUUGUAGGUGAGGUAACGGCUCACCUAGACUGCGAUAGAUAGGGGCCCUGAGAGGGGGACCCCCCACACUGGUACUGAGACACGGACCAGACUCCUACGGGAGGCAGCAGUAAGGAAUAUUGGUCAAUGGACGAAAGUCUGAACCAGCCAUGCCGCGUGCAGGAUGAAUGCCCUAUGGGUUGUAAACUGCUUUUAUAUAGGAAGAAAAACUUUCUCGUGAGAAAGCUUGACGGUACUAUAAGAAUAAGGAUCGGCUAACUCCGUGCCAGCAGCCGCGGUAAUACGGAGGAUCCAAGCGUUAUCCGGAAUCAUUGGGUUUAAAGGGUCCGUAGGCGGGCUAUUAAGUCAGAGGUGAAAUCCUGCAGCUUAACUGUAGAAUUGCCUUUGAUACUGGUUAUCUUGAGUUAUUAUGAAGUGAUUAGAAUGUGUAGUGUAGCGGUGAAAUGCAUAGAUAUUACACAGAAUACCAAUUGCGAAGGCAGAUCACUAAUAAUCAACUGACACUGAGGGACGAAAGCGUGGGUAGCGAACAGGAUUAGAUACCCUGGUAGUCCACGCCGUAAACGAUGGUCACUAGCUGUUUGAUGCACAUUGGUGUGUUGAGUGGCUAAGCGAAAGUGAUAAGUAUCCCACCUGGGGAGUACGCUCGCAAGAGUGAAACUCAAAGGAAUUGACGGGGGCCCGCACAAGCGGUGGAGCAUGUGGUUUAAUUCGAUGAUACGCGAGGAACCUUACCAGGGCUUAAAUGUACGUUGCAUAAUUCAGAGAUGAAUUUUUCUUCGGACCACGUACAAGGUGCUGCAUGGUUGUCGUCAGCUCGUGCCGUGAGGUGUCAGGUUAAGUCCUAUAACGAGCGCAACCCCUGUCGCUAGUUGCCAGCAAGUUAUGUUGGGUACUCUAGUGAGACUGCCGGUGCAAACCGAGAGGAAGGUGGGGACGACGUCAAAUCAUCACGGCCCUUAUGUCCUGGGCUACACACGUGCUACAAUGGCCGGUACAGAGAGCAGCCACUACGCGAGUAGGAGCGAAUCUAUAAAACCGGUCUCAG
rnacentral:rRNA from 1 species